AUCCCCAACCCCCAACUCCUGCCUUUAAAAACAGGAGCCAAUCCUUCCCAAUAUCCAAUCCUACAAACUUGGUGGUGACUUGGGCAUCACUGAUGGAUAAUUAGGACCUAGAGUAUAAAAUGGCAGAUUGUAGCCGUUCAAAAUCCGGACUUUCUGUUUUAAUUGAGAAGAAUUAGCCUCGAAACAUUUUUUUCCUUGUCACAAUAGGUUUUCCAGUGUCUUGGCAAUAAGGAGUAGCAUUUUAAAUGACCUACAUUUGUGUAGGAAGCCACAUGGUCCAGCCCGGUAGGAUUAGUGAGGGGGGAAGAUAUUCUGGGGUGCUGACUACCCAUCAGGACAAGCAGGCUCCGACUUGGCUUCUCCAGCUCGCCAUCUGGCCAAUGCUGAUUCAUUAGGUAGGUGCCCUUCCUUCUGUUGGAAAGGACAUUUGUUCCCCAUAAUUUGCCACUUUUCCAAGUGGUUAAGGGAAAUUGGAUUUGUUGCAGCGUGCCAGAAGCGAGCAAGACUGGGAACGAGGGCAAGGAUGCCGCAAAAUGGAAAGUCCUCUGGAACCACUGGUGGUGACAUGAGAUGGCACAGCCACUUCAAGAAAGCCUGACAGCUCAUGGGAAGGCACUCUGUCCAGGAGAAUGGGUUAAGGACCUUGGAGCCAGAUGCCCUGAAUACGGCCCAGGCUCCAAUAGGUACUUCCUUGGCUUAACCCAUAAUGUCAAACACAAUCACACAGCACUGCAGCUCGCCCCAGCUCUACUCUCGAUUUGGAGGGUACGGUCAGAGAGGAUGAAGUCAUGGUGCCAGGAGCCUGAGGCAGCUGCUUGCAUUGUAUCCGCAGUGAGGAAGCCGAGAGAGAUGAACCCGAUGAGCAGGUAGCUUCCUCCUUUUCUUACAGUCUGAGACUGAGCCCACGGACACCUGCGUGCAAGAUGGGACUUCCCAGUUCAGUUAACCCAAGUUCUAAGCCAGGCUCUUGGAGAGCUAAAUCCAACGAGCGAGUGUUGGCAGAGCCAUGCUCCCUCUGGAGUGCCUCGAGGACAGUCUGCUUCUAUACCCUUCUCCAGUUCCUUGGGCUGUGUUCCUUGGCCUGUGGCCUUACCUCCACCUUCCAACCCGGCACUGUAGCACCUCCCUUAUUAAAAAGAAAUUAGUAAAAAUGUUAAAAACUAUUAUUUUUAUUUGACGUGUAUGGGUGUUUUUGUCUGCAUGUAUGUCUGUGCACCACAGCAUAUCCGGUGCACACAGAGACCAGAAGAGGAUGUGGGAUCUCCCAGGACUGGAGUUACCGAUGACAGUAAGCCGCCAUGUGGGUGCUGGGAAUUGAACCCAGAUCCUCUGAAAAGAGCAGUCAGUGCUCUUAACCACUGAGCCACAACCCCAGCUGUGGCAUCUUCCUUCUUUAGUCCUAGCCUCUUCUUUUCUAGUUGUGUCCAAUUUCCUUCUGUCUCAUAAGGACAGUAGUGCUCACACUGGCCUGCAGGGAUAACUCACCCGUUCCUUACUUGUGAGCUUCUACAAAGAUCCUCACUCUUUAUCGUGUACCAUGAACGGUCACUGAGACUAGGACCUCAUAUCUUUAGAAUCAUCAAUAAACUGCAGCCCAUCCUAGUACAGAAUGGAAAGCGAUGUCGUGUUUAUGGACCAUGUAAAUGAACAUUCUGCCUGGUGGUAAGAGCUCCAAUUAAUUCAGGAACACUUCGCAAUUACUACUGAAAGUAAACUAUUUUUACUCUCGGGUUCAACAAUUCCCUCUAAUUAGUGCUAAGAAUUCAUCAUAGGAUAUUUUUAAUUAAUUUUUUCCAUGUAAUAUAUUCUGAAUUCAGUUCUCACUGUGUUCUUGACAAUGGGCGUUCAAGGAUUAUUUGUUGAUGUCGUUUAUAGAAGCUACAUUUGCAAACAGCCCACACAGCCUGGCAAUGGGGACCGGGUGAGUGUGCAAAAGGGCUUCCACACCACGGGAUGCUGUAUCAAGCAGAGUGAGACAGUCCUUUGAAGAAAGUCUUCAAGAAUGUGUUCCCAUUGUGAGGACGAAUGAAGAGAGAAGACAGGAGAGGAGAGGACGAGAGAACCUAGAAAUACCCCGGAGGACACAGAAGGUGGGUUGUUCUGUAAGUAUGGAGUCGAGGUGAUGCUUACAUUAUUAUCAUAGGCAUUUAUUGAAUUAUUAAUUUAAAUGUUUAAUAACAAAAUAGAAGGGACAUUUAUUUAAAAGACCUGGCAGGAACUGUGUUGGUAGAGUACUGGCUUGUCAGGACUACAUAAAACUGGAAUGGUGGUGCACACCUCUAAGCCCAGCACUCUGGAGGUGGAGUACCAAGACCAGAAGUUCGAGGCCAUCCUCAGCCACAUAGCAAAUUUGAAAUAGCCUGUGCUACAUGAGAUUCUGCCCCAAAGCCAAAAUUCCUAAAUAAGUUGGCAAAUUACUAGCCCAUCCAAAUUGCACAUAUUUUUUUUUAGUCUUGUCUUCCUAAUUUCCUCUCUUCUUCCAUCACCAAAGAAAGGAAUUACCUUUCUUCCUGUGGGUUGCCAGUCUCUCCCUAGGGCCCUGUGGGUGUUCUUUGAAGUCAGGUUGAUUUCAUCAGCACGGGUGUGGCUUUGAGGUGAGAGCCAAGGACAGGAGAGGAAGGACAUCCUUGGUACUCUCACUGGUCACAGACCAAUCAUGGCGUCAAUAGUCAGACCAGCUUUAGGAAAGUCCACAGGCAGGCUCAGAGCUUCCUGUGUCCAUAGAGACACAAACCUGGGACGCCACAACCUCGUCAUCACAAUACAUUGUCUCUAUCCUGGACAGAAUGCCCAGAGGGCAGAAGUGGAACAGCUUGUCUUAGAAGACCCCAGGGUCCACCUGCCAUGUGGAUCAACUUUUCCCGGAGUCUUACAAAAACACAUUUCAUCCAACUUCCUCAGGCUAAAUUUGAAGUAAAGAACUCACUUUGUCUGCAGCUGCUACUGUGGUUAGUGUGCCUUCCCUGUACACGAAUCAUUAAAGUCUCUCAGGCUUAAUUUCCUCAUCUGAAAAAUGGGCAUAAUACCAGGCUUCCUGAAUUCCAAGCCGCCCUCUGCAGUAUUUCUGAACUCAGCCUAUAGGUUUGAGCACGUAUUCAUCUUGUUGUUGUUUCUUUUAUCCAAGAAGGCUGUGGAAAGACCACUGAUAUUUUUUAAUACUGUUAGUAAUAGUCACAGCUUCGGUCAUGUGAUUAAAAUAAUUUGCCAAUUUAACUACCACAGUUCAAUGGUUUUUAAUAGACUCCCAGAACUGCACAUCCAUCACUACAGACAUUUUCCUAAUAGCCCAUUAGCUGUCACUUUUGUCUUCCUUCAAUUUGCCUGUCCUGUGUAUUUCAUACCAACGGAACAUCAUAUGCCUUGCCUGGGAUUUCCUCCUUUCACUUAGUGUCGUGUCUUCAAGGCCCAUCCGUGCCAGACCUGGCACCAGCGUUUCGUUUCUUCCUUGGCCUGGUUGAUAUCCAGCUGUAUGAAUGUGUAUCUUUGUAUCUAUUCGUUCAUUCACUGACAGUUGUUCUUACUUUUGUGGUUGUGUAGUUAUUUCCUGUGAUUUAAGCAUUCCCUCCUCAAGACUUAGGAAGUAAAUGAAAUUUAUAAGACUCAGGAAGCAAACAAAACGUGCAGUCUCUGAGAGCUCCAGAAAUUUAAAGGAUUCACAAAGCCUAUCUCCCUGAGGUUAUCUAGGCAGAAACAAAUGCUGGGAGAGGAGAUACUCUGACCAGUGGAGUUGCUCUGACCAGGACAGCCGCACACAAGUCAUGUGGAGAGCUCUCAUGAGUCAUUGUCCACUGUGGUGUGGGUUUCCUGGUAAUACAGCUGAUUUUGGGUUACCCAGGUCCCCACUGGUAACCCAUCACCUUUAUUCCUGAAAUCAACCACAAUGAACCCAAGCUACACUUGGCCGUAAUUUUUCCUUUGGUCUGUCACCCAUACCCCAAUCUGGAAUGAGAGGACAUUUGUUUAUAUCUCCUCAGGAAAAGCCACCCGAUCCUUUCGUUUCUUAUAUCAAUAAAACUGCUCUGAGCAGUGCCUGGGAGUUGGCAUUUUCUUUCUGUUGGCUGUGUAGCCAGAGGUAGAACUACCGGCUCAUGUGUUAAUUUGGAAGUUGCAUUUAUAGCACUUUUCAGAAUCUCAGGAGUAUUUUAUAGAGUAGCUGUCUAUAGCCAGAUCACCCUGAACACCUCCAGUCCCAUCUAAAGUAAGAACACCAUCUUACAAUGCGAUCGUUAGCAUAUGCUGACUCUAAUUUCUUCAUGUCCUUGUCAAUGGCUUUUCUAUUAGAGCCAUCCUACCAAGAGUGUCUUUCUGUGCCGUAGCUACCACUUCCCCGAUGUCAGUAAUGGUGACCACCUUUGCCUCUUGGUGAUGGUUAUAUCUUACUUGGGAAGAUGCCUUAUUCAAAUCUUUUGCCAUUUAAAGUUGGAAUAUCACUGUUUAUUGUUUAAUUGUAAGAGUUCAAUUUAUAGUCUAGGUUGAAGUGCCUUCGUGACCUGGACUAGCAGGUCAUUCUUCAACAACAGGUUCCUGAGAAAGAGAGGACCAGGGAGCAGGAAGAUAAGGAGACAAGUUUGAGAUCGGGAGGUCUUGCAUAAGCCGCAUCUUAUGCCAAGCUAGCUAAUUAAGAAGCAAGCAUCUUAUACAGUUUUUAGGGGAGAAGUGGGACUGUGUCAGCAGAAAGCUAUCAUACAAAGGGACAAAGUCAGCAGGAAGCUAAUCGAGUCAUGUUGCAUGAAAGGAACACAGAGUAUUCUAAGUGCAGCACAGACAGCACACAGCAGUCUUGGGAGUGAUAACCAUAGGCCCUUAAGGGUGGGCAGAGUUAGCGUCUCAGGAACCAAAAAUCAGAGCUGUGACUCCCCCAAGGCCCUGGCCCCGGGCCAUUACUGGCUCUGCCAAGUAUAUUCCUUGUAUUAGAGAAGAAAUUGUGUUCCUUUUCUAUACACCAGGUCCUCAGGGAAAAAGUCCCAGGGCCCUGGCCCCAGGCUAUUACUGGCUCUGCCAAGCUUGUUCCUGGUUUAGAGAAGGAACUAUAUUCUCCAUAGACCAGAGCCUCGGGGAAAGUUUUGCCCUCACCAUCUUACUGGAUAAAUGAUUUACAAAUAUUUUCUCCCGUUACAUGGACUGUCUCUUCAUUUUCUUAAUGGGAUCCUUUGACUCACAAAUGGUAAUUCUGAUGGCGUUCAACUCACCUUCAUUUUCUAUUCAUUGAUUUUUUCACUGUAAUGUUAUAAUGGAGAAAGAAUUUUCUAACGCAGCAUCAUGACGAUUUCCUUUUACUCUAAGACUCCUAGAGCUUUUAUUCUGACGUUUAGGUUGGUGACCACUUCAAGUUAGUAUUUCUAUAUAGUGUGAGGUAGGAGCCCAGCAUCAUUGUUCUCAGUGGCUAUGAAAUUGUUGCAGGUGAACUCUUGGAACUCUUCUUGACAACUAGUUGACUACAUGUGGGAUUAUUUUUCUAUGGACUCUCUAUUCUCUUCCCUUCUUUAGGCUUCUCUUCACGUAGAAAGUGCUGCACAAUUCAAUUGCAUCUAAAAUCAGAAAAUAGAAGUCUUUCAACUUUGGUUUUCUUUCUUGAAAUCAUUGGGCUUGCUUUUCCAUUGGAAUUUGGGAUCUGUUUCCCAACAUCUGCAAAAGAAACUGAGAGAUUCAGUAGAGUGUACAUUGAAUCUAUACAUCAACUGAGGAAGGGUCAUCAUCUUAACAACAUUAAGUCCUUCAGCACAAGGCACAGUUCCCAUUUAAUUAUAUUUUUUUCAGAAAUUACUCAUAGAUUGUAUCCUUAUUAAGUUUAUACUUGUCAAUUUGUUCCUAUUUUGUGCUGUUGUAAAGAAGAUGGUUUUCUUAGUUUUAUCUUCAAAGUCCAGUCCUGGUCUACAGAAAUGAAAUUGCUUUUCAUUCAUGGCUGGUCUACAAAUGAAACUCUGCUACAUUUGGACAUGGGUAGGGUUUGUUGUUAUUUUAACGUUCUUUUGUAGGUUGUUUAGGAUUUUCUCUCCCAAGAUCAUGCUGCAUGCAUUUUCUUCCUCAAUCAAAAUUAUUAAUCCUUCCUCCUCUGACUUACAUGCCCCAUGAAAGGAUACUGUAGAGGAUUUUGUCAAAUUGUUACAGUAAACUUAGUUACACCAUUUCUUAGCUCUCAUUGUUCCUCUUAGGGAGAAAAUCCAUGGACCACUCUAUUCACUGCUCACAGGAAGGACACUCCUCCCUUCUCUGCUGCAGAGAGACAUGCUUGGAGGGAGAGUAGCUCAUUUGGGUUACCAGCACAAGGGAAGCACCUGAUGUGCUUUGGCCUUUGCAAGGACUCCUGAUCAGAACUUGCCUUGAUGAAGGAAUUCCUUCGUAUGUCCCACAUAUGCCCUUCAGUGCAAAGAGCAGAGCACUUGAAUGUAUAACAGCACCCUUUGUGCAAAAUGGCUCACAGCUGUCUGAGCUAUUCCCGUAAGACAAAAACAUGAAGUCCCACCCACUUUAUGGAAGAAACUCAACCAAAGGAUUGUCUGACUUGAGAUCUUAGGACACUGGACACUCCAUCAACAAUAACAACACCAGAAGAAGAGUAAACAUGUUUGGCACAGAACUUGGGCAGUCUACCCACCAUGUGGGUUCCAGGAAUUGAACUCAGGUUAUCAAUGCGAACCAGAAUUCCUGAAACAACUGAUUGAUUAGAACUGUAGUGAUUUGGAGAAAUUGGAGUGUUGUAAAUCCAGGGCCUAAUUACUCUUUAUCUUUAAUUUCGAAGCUAGCCUUUGCCCCCUAAAUGGCCAUUCCAUGCUGACCUCUGUUUGACCUAACAUCCUGUGGUUAAUGGAUUUCCAUUCACGGAAAAGUUAAGAGCAUCAUCAGAUGGCAGAGGAGACCCAUCUUUCUGUACCUUCUGAUGUUUCCAACAAUCAAUUGUUUAAAUAUCUUGACUUAUUCUUUGUUCUGUUACUACAAAACUCCACAAUUAAAGCAUUAUGCUCCACACUGAAACAUUAUAUUGAGGGUAAUCUAAAUGGUUUCUGGGCCGUGGACACUCAUGAUGUUUCCUGUAGAUAUACUGUGUUUCUUAUUCCUUUGAGAGAAGAGUUGUUUCUUUUGAUGACACAGUGCUUAGGUGCAGUUACUCUUAUCUACAGAGCCAUCUCCCCUGCCUGCAUGUGGCCUCUCUGAGACAACGGUUGACUAUUGGACCCUACUGGGGAGAGGUAUAUAGCAUUGUCAUUGAAUGGUGUACUUUGCCAAUAUCCCCUUUCAUGUUGCAUCAGAGAGAUCCUGUGUGCAGCAGUCUCCAUUGUGACAUGAGAAGGCUCUGGGAUCAAGCCAGCUGUUCUUAGGAAGUUCUGGAAGAGUGUUGGCAUGGCAGCGGCCCUUCUCUUUCAACAGCACAUUUGAUUAACUUAAACCCUGCCUGCCACACUGGAUAGCUGAAACCUGGUAUCCCAGUGACCUAAGACGGGUAAGAUAAUUUCUUGUCUUACCUGAGUAUUGGAAUCAUCCUCUCUUGCUAUUCAGUGUCCUUCAAACACUUAGGAAUGUAGCCAUGGACAGCCCAAGUCCCCCAUGUGACAAUUUUGCUCAAAGGUAGGUCAAGUGAAUAUGGUGAGCCUGGGUUAUAGGGUUACCAUGUUAUUUGGUUUUCUAAAUGGCUCAAGAGAAAUUAAAAACUUCAUGUCAAAGAGCUAAGUCCUCAACUGAAUGGGUAGGAUUAUGACAAAAUCUUAUAAAAUUAUUAUUAGAACUGUAUAAAUUAUUAAACUUAUGAAAAAGCCUCACAAAACAUUGGAGACUAUUCCUAAUGUUCAGGUUAAAAUGUCUGAGAGUAGAAGGAAGAGAAAAACAAUAUUCAAGAUGAUUUCUAUUCUAGCACCACCCAUCCCCAAAGGGGAAAGAAAGAAGGCCAUUAGGUUGUCAUGAAACUGGACUCUUGGGUUGCAAGGCCCUGACCAGGCAUAGUAACAGAAGUCAGCCUUGAGCCUUUUAACCACUGGAGGAUGGUUCAGUGGGGUCUCAAGUAGGAGCUCUGCUGGAGUUGAUGGCGUGAAGGAAAAGGAUUACCCAUCUCUUUUUGGAUUUUCCAAAGUCAGUACUAUGUAUUUGCUUGAGAUCAGGGAAGUGGUCCAAGGAUAUUUCUCCCUAAGGGAAACAAUGAGGGAGCUCUAACAAAUGGUGUCGUUAAGUUUACUGCAAAGCAUUUGACAAAAUUCGGCAUUCUUUCAAUGAAUGAAUGAUUAAUCAUUUUGAUUAAGGAAGAAUAUGCAUGCAGCAUGAGUCCCAGGAUGUGGACUGGUCUCCUGGGAGUGCCAGCAGAAAAGCUUCCCACUGUAGUAGAUCGAGAAGAGUGAACAAUUCACCAGGAGAGGAGAGAACCACUGUUGGGGUCUGUUUCUUUACCUGUAACAUGAACAACUUUCUCGUUAUGUUAGGCUAAGGGUAUAGUCCUAACAAGUUUGGUUCAGCCUUGCUCUGCAGUGGAAGUUUUUUUUUUUUUGGGGGGGGGGCGAAUAAUAGAAGUUGUAGUGUUAAAAUAAUAGCAAAUAGCUUUUAAUCCAACGUUCGUUUUUAAAAAACUGUCUUUGAAAUGGCAGUCACAGCAGAACCCACUUGUGAGAGAAGUACUUUUAGUGAUGCUCGACAGGUUCCCUGAACUCAGCCCAAGGCAGAGGAUUAUUCUUUUGCCUGAAGAGAGUGGGAACAAAAAGAGACAAGGGGAUGAUUUGCAAAUCUAAAUCUCUGUGACCCAUCUUCCAGGGAGAGGCACGAGUGUAAGCACAGAAGGGAUCUGAAGGAAUUCUGGGUUCUUCCCUCUUUGACAUUGUGUCUGGGAUUAAACCCCAUACCCUAAUGCAUGUUGGGCUGGGGCUCAAGAGUGUGGUAGGAUGGGAUGGUGUGUGAUGGGAGGGGACGGACAUUUGACUUGAGUGAUGGGUCCUUCAAUCCCAAAGGCCUUGAUUUUAAUUAUCAGCAUAUGUAGGCACACACAUGGAGCACAGAAAUUCAUGAAAGCCAUAGUGACUGGGACCUGAGAUUUUGGGUGGAAAGUUUUACAUUCAAAACAUUCAAAACCAGACAUGGUGGCAGAUAUCUUUAAUCCCAGGAUUUGGGAGGCAGAGGCAAGGGGAUUUCUGUGAGUCUGAAGCCAGCCUGAUUUACAGAGUAAGUUCCAGGACAACCAGGGCUAUGUAGAGAGAUCCUGUCUCAAAAAAGAAGAAAAAAAAAAAAAAGAAAUAAAGUAGCAAAAAAAGAAUACAUAGCAGAUACAAUGAGUAUUUUUAAAAAUUAAAUAGCAAUGUUCAUAUAAGCCUCACACUCUAAUCUAAUAGACAUUCAACACUGUAGGCUUUGCUUUGAAUCUUAAGUUUGGGGUGUUUCCUUUCUUCUCUUUCCUUCUUUCUCUCUCUCUCUUUCUUUCUUUCUUUCUUUCAUCUUUCUGUCUUUCUUACUUUUUUCCUGUCUGUCUGUCUGUCUUUUCUUUCGUUCUUCUUUCUAAUAGGAUGUUACCAAUGGUGCUGAAGCUUCAGACCCCCACCCUGACAUCAGUGUCACCUCCCCGGAGAUUGUUCACUUUGACAACACUCAAUCUCACAAACAAAAGCUGGGUUUUGGGGUGUGGGGUUCAAGAGAACACUGAGACAGAUCUCUGGGGAAUAAGUUUACUAGAAAACUUAUUAACACCAUGGACAGACAGACACAGAGACAGCAUGGCAUGGUCUCUGGAGAGAGGAAUCAGACCACACAGGCAGAAGCAGGCUCUCGUUUUAAUGCCUUUCCUGAGGAUGGAGGAUUUUCACACAAAUGUGUAGCCAGGAUAAAGGGAGCAGGGAACAAGAUGUGUGGUACCAAUCCACAAACCCCUUCCAUUGAUGUUAGCUCAUUUCCCAAAUGAGAGAUCCUGGCCCAGGGUGUUGGCCAACUGGGGACUCAUAGACAAGGUCUCAGGAGGCUACCCAGGAGGGUAUCUAUGUCUGUGAGUGGAAGCUGCUGGAGAUAUUCUGUCCUAAGCAGAGGCCGGAUACUCAAGGCUUCUGGCCCUUGAGGGACUGGUCGCUCAGUUCAAAUAUCCCUCCUUUCCCAUCACACACCACUCCCUCUUAUCACUCCAUUCUUAAACGAGCGUCCUUAGAAUCAGGAAGCUGACAUUGCACUGUGUGGUUUUACACCACACACGAUUUGCUAGUGUUUUCAAAGCAUACCGCCAUUGUCGGAGAUUUGCCCCCUUGAGACUGAGACUUGGGUCUCGUGAGUCUGCCUCAAAGCUCUCCCUGGGGAAAUUUUUUUUUGUAUGCCUAAGAGUGGAUUUGCCUAAACUUCACUGAAGAGAGAAGAUAACAAAAGUGUUCACAGCCAUCACACCACCCAAACUUAGUGCCUUAACCCAUUGGUAAUAAAUGGUUGAGCUCCUGAAUUUUCAAUGUGGGCAGAGCACAACUCUGUCCCCAACAGCAUUAGCUGAAGGGGCUCAGAAGCUAGCCUCCCCACAAGUAUUCUGUAGUGACUAAGGACCCCUUUCCACCUAAGAUAAUUCUACACAGGCUACGUGUGUAACAAUAUAGGACAGGUAUAUAGAUCAAACAUUGACUGACAAUAAACCACAGAGAGGUUCAUUUUAAGACAAUUCUUUGAGAGAUACGUAUGUGCAGCCUUACCACAUAUUAAAUAGGAAAGCAAUUUCGCACACCACCGAGAUGAAUACGCUUGGCUAUUUUUAUAUAAAGAGUGAAAUCUUGCUAGUGCAGGAUGUAGAGUUCGUCAAAGCGUUUCAGAGUUGACUGAUGCUUUGAUUUUAGGAUUAUUGAUGCUGCGACCACUGCUUCACAUAAAUACAUAGUGCACACGACAUAAGGGUGUGUAGGGACAUUUCAGAGUAAAAAUGGCAUUUGGAAGUCCUGCGCUAUCCCAAACCAAGAUUCGCUUAAUGGUUUUUAAUGAACUCAUCAGCAAUUCGAAGUUCAAGUUUUAAAAUCGAGCACUGGACGGGCAGUGGUGGAACACAGUUUUAAUACCUGGAAGGCAGAGGCAGGCAGAUCUGAGUUUGAGGCCAGCCUGGUCUACAGAGAUAGUUCCAGGAUAGCCAGAGCUACACAGACAAACCCUAAAAAGAAAUAAAAAACAAAACCAAGCACUGUGACACAAGGGAACCUAAAGAUAUAGUAAUUUAAUACUUACCUCUUGAAGAAAAUGCCGGAACAUGUUAAGUGCCUUUGUUUUCUGUAAUUAGACCAGUGUGUUUCUAUAGAAGAAUGAAGCUAUUUCUGUACAGUAAGAACAACAACAAACGCUAAAGGACUGCAGCUCAUAUGACACAUCUGGAAUAUGAGGCCCGUGCUCCAGCUGCGUUCACUGGCACUGCACGGUGGGAGAGCAUGCAAGGUGUGGUGAGCACAACGCUCUCUCACACUGUGACUUCAGAACCAAGGCCGCAGUGAGCUCUCUCAGUGCCCCGCAGGUCCCGACCUCCCAGUAGUGCAUUGGGUGGGACCCAAGCCUUUAGCACACGGUCCUUUGGCAGACACCAACAGUAUAUAGCAAGGGAGAUGGCCACCUGUUUGGUAUGGCACCAUACCACAAUUGAUGUAGGUUCAUUGGAGGCAAACGCAACAAUAUCCUGGUGGCAGAAUUACCUACUACUGCAUCUGAUCAGGAAGACAGUACAUUCAAACCACUGAGUGGAGACUGGAGUUAGGCCAGCCAUAAACUAUCCUAAUGAAGACUAAUCGGGAACUACAAUUACUGUUGACUUCAGAAUGCAAACAUGAACUUUAGACAGCGAUCCCUAUCAGCCGGUGAGGCCGGGCACAGAUGCCGAUCACUGUUUUCUGCCGUUGCUUAGCAAUGGAAAAUGAACUGUUCCUGCCUCUUAUCACGGGGGGUGGAGAUAAAAGUUUGAAUUUUGCCCGGGAGGGACCCUCCAGAAUUAUCAUUAAAGAAAAUAUACGCAAAGAACAGAAGGGUCCCAUGCUGCCCUCUCCACAACAGAGUGUGGUGAUAUCCACUGGAAGGUCUUGUUGUCUCACAGAGGAACUUCCUCCUUCUGUAGGGAGGGUCUCCUUCUACAGUCCUUGUGCUGACCUCACCUGAACCUAUAGCGAGCUCAAAGUACUUCCACACCGAAGAUCCACCUUUGGGUUCCCCGUUUUGACCUGAAGCAUCCCAAGCUCUGCCUCGUGGUCAUGCUGCCUUCUCUCAGAUGGCUAGCAUGCUCCGAUGCCUCCCUCUAACAGCAGUAACCAUGACGUUUAGAGUUCUCCUUGAAGAUCUGCUUGGCAAUCUCCUCAUCUCCAAGAUGUCAUAUGAAGACGACACACUCAGCUUCCAGGGACUGGUGUUUGAUAUCCUGGUCAUCCUUCCAAACCAACUGAAGAGAAAGAGUGACUAUCACCGCCAGAAAGAGACACGUGCUCACUGCAUUCUCUGCAGCACUGCUGCUGAUAGCAAGAGAAUUUACAUUUUCAAUAUCUGUCAACGGGAGGGAUGGAGGCAUUGAACACGCUCCUGCAACGACCUGUCAUGCGGCAGCUAAAAUGAAUGAACUAGAUAUGCAACAGUCGAAGCCAGUGUCACCGGAUUCAGCGGUGAGCGAAAAGAAUCCAUUUCAGGGGGGGAAAAAAUUCUAGCGUGAUACUAUUUGUGCUGGAAGUGUUAAAAAAGGAAAGCUCUGAAUGGCUGGAGUGUGGUAGGAGGCAGACACCGAGGUGAAC
rnacentral:sRNA from 1 species